rnacentral:rRNA from 1 species
AUGUACACUCCUACAAUGUUAAUGCAAUGUAUCCCAUCAAAAAUCUGCAGUUAAACGUGCUUGGUCUAUAGUAGUAUUAGGAUGAGUGACCUCUCGAGAAGACCUUGUGUUUUACAUG